UAGAACUGUUUAGACUUUCCUGUUCCCU
rnacentral:piRNA from 1 species